rnacentral:piRNA from 1 species
UGCAAGCCUAGCUGCCGAAACUGCCGGCUGU